rnacentral:rRNA from 1 species
AUUGAACGCUGGCGGCAGGCUUAACACAUGCAAGUCGAACGAGUGGCGGACGGGUGAGUUAUGCUUGGGACUCUUGCUUAUGGAGGGGGUUCACUACGGGAAACUGUUGCCACUACCGCCUUCCUUAGGAUGAGUCCAAGUGGGAUUAGGUAGUUGGUGAGGUAAAGGCGUACCAAGACGACGAUCUCUAGCUGGUCUGAGAGGAUGACCAGCCACACUGGAACUGAGACACGGCCCAGACUCCUACGGGAGGCAGCAGUGGGGAAUAUUGGGCAAUGGGCGAAAGCUGAGCCAGCCAUGCCGCGUGGGUGAAGAAGGCCUUCGGAUUGUAAAGUUCUUUAAGUAGGGAGGCGUUAACUACAGAAGAAGCACCGGCUAACUCCGUGCCAGCAGCCGCGGUAAUUC